rnacentral:tRNA from 1 species
UCCCUGGUGGCUCAGAUGGUUGGGGGUCUGCCUGAAAUGCAGGAGACCUGGGUUUGAUCCCCGGGUAGGGAA